AGUGAGUGAUGAUUACUUCUACCCUGAUGAAAAACAUGAGGGUAAAAACUGAUUUAAUGAGUCUGACAC